rnacentral:lncRNA from 1 species
CGAUCAAUCCAGGUACAACUUUUUCCUAUCUGUCGCAAGCCCCUGCAUCUGCUAAAUUAAAAAAAUUGUCAGUAUAAUUUUCACAUCCAUGGUACAUUUUGUUGAUUUCAAACUUAACUGAGAAUUGGUUAAUCUUGUCAUGUCUAUGAAUUAGAUGAAAUGAAGCCUUAGACCUGAUAUACGCAAUUUUCACUAAAACUGUGUUUGCUGCAGAUCUUCAAAGGCCACAGAUGUCAGUAAAGCAAUUUAUGGGAGUAUAGUUCCUGUGCUUGACAAUGAGAAAUUCUCAGUGAGAAUAUUGGUAAGUUGACACAAUGAGCUUGCUUGGAAUAUAUAGAACAAGUAAAGUUGUUUUACAAAAUACUUUAUUACUACAGAAGUACAUUUGUACUGAUUUCCGUAAUACCAUGUACCGAUUAUUAAAGAUAAUAAAAUGAUAUUUACUCUGUUUGUAAAAUAUUUUGUGCAGGUUGAUCACUCAAUAGUCGAAGCCUUUGCUCAAGGUGGGCGGACUGUUAUUACAUCACGAGUAUAUCCAACAAAAGCUAUUGGAGGAGCAGCUCGAGUGUUCCUUUUCAACAAUGCAACUGGAGCAGCUGUUACUGCCACUUCAGUCAAAAUAUGGGAAAUGGAUGCUGCAUUGAUGAAAUCCUACCCUGAUCAGCAAACGGCAUAAACCACAUUUAAUUUUUCUGGAUUCCUAUCAAUUGUAUGCUUUCAGCCCACCAAUGACCUUGCCAUUGCAUGUUAGUUGUUUCCCUUAUACCUGUAACAUUUAUUCAUUGAUCUCAUUUUUAGCUGAGCUGUGAUCGGCUUAUCAGCAUGCCAUUUGUUGGCUGUAUGUGUAGUAUUCCUUUGGAAUGAAAUGCAGAAAAUUUUCUUGUAGAGAACAGGACUAGUACUUCAACUUUUUUAUCCAUAAUGUGGAUUUUUCACGGUAACAAUAAAUCAAAGCCAUGUAUUACCUGUACUAAUAAUGCACCUGCAGCAUCACCAAAUUGAAUACACAUCCCUCUGGCAAUCCAAUCCACAACAUAUCGAGAAGGAGAUCGAAUCAGCUCCAAUCACCAGGACAUGCAUUUUGGAACCUACCCCCUGCAAUUUCAACAAGUACACCUUAUGACUGAAAACAAGAAAAGCAAUUAAGCAAACCAUAUGAACUAAUCACCN